CAACACAAACACUGAUUUACCAUCCUCUAUGACAUUUUAUUCAUAUUGAGUAUGUUUUGUUGAUGUUUGGUCUGCAUGGACACAGUGGAGGGUAGGAGGGCAGGUACGUACUGCAUGGACACAGUGGAGGGGUGGGAGGGCAGGUACGUACUGCAUGGACACAGUGGAGGGGUGGGAGGGCAGGUACGUACUGCAUGGACACAGUGGAGGGGUGGGAGGGCAGGUACGUACUGCAUGGACACAGUGGAGGGGUGGGAGGGCAGGUACGUACUGCAUGGACACAGUGGAGGGUAGGAGGGCAGGUACGUACUGCAUGGACACAGUGGAGGGUAGGAGGGCAGGUACGUACUGCAUGGACACAGUGGAGGGCAGGUACGUACUGCAUGGACACAGUGGAGGGGUGGGAGGGCAGGUACGUACUGCAUGGACACAGUGGAGGGUAGGAGGGCAGGUACGUACUGCAUGGACACAGUGGAGGGUAGGAGGGCAGGUACGUACUGCAUGGACACAGUGGAGGGUAGGAGGGCAGGUACGUACUGCAUGGACACAGUGGAGGGGUGGGAGGGCAGGU